rnacentral:rRNA from 1 species
AUUAGAGUUUGAUCCUGGCUCAGAUUGAACGCUGGCGGCAUGCCUUACACAUGCAAGUCGAACGGUAACAGGUUAAGCUGACGAGUGGCGAACGGGUGAGUAAUGUAUCGGAACGUGCCCAGUCGUGGGGGAUAACUGCUCGAAAGAGCAGCUAAUACCGCAUACGACCUGAGGGUGAAAGCGGGGGAUCGCAAGACCUCGCGCGAUUGGAGCGGCCGAUAUCAGAUUAGGUAGUUGGUGGGGUAAAGGCCCACCAAGCCAACGAUCUGUAGCUGGUCUGAGAGGACGACCAGCCACACUGGGACUGAGACACGGCCCAGACUCCUACGGGAGGCAGCAGUGGGGAAUUUUGGACAAUGGGCGCAAGCCUGAUCCAGCCAUGCCGCGUGCGGGAAGAAGGCCUUCGGGUUGUAAACCGCUUUUGUCAGGGAAGAAAAGGUUCUGGUUAAUACCUGGGACUCAUGACGGUACCUGAAGAAUAAGCACCGGCUAACUACGUGCCAGCAGCCGCGGUAAUAAU